UACAGAGGGUGCGAGCGUUGUUCGGAAUUAUUGGGCGUAAAGGGCGCGUAGGCGGUGCGGUAAGUCACCUGUGAAAUCUCCUGGCUCAACUGGGAGCUUGCAGGCGAAAACUGCCGUGCUGGAGUGUGGGAGAGGUGCGUGGAAUUCCCGGUGUAGCGGUGAAAUGCGUAGAGUAUCGGGAGGAACACCUGUGGCGAAAGCGGCGCACUGGACCACAACUGACGCUGAGGCGCGAAAGCUAGGGGGAGCAAACAGG
rnacentral:rRNA from 1 species